UACGUAGGCAGCAAGCGUUGUUCGGAAUUACUGGGCGUAAAGAGUGUGUAGGCGGUGUUCUAAGUCUGUUGUGAAAUCUCCCGGCUUAACUGGGAGGGUGCGGCGGAAACUGGAAUGCUAGAGGAUGGGAGAGGUAAGCGGAAUUCCUGGUGUAGCGGUGAAAUGUGUAGAUAUCAGGAGGAAUACCGGUGGCGAAAGCGACUCUCUGGACGGCAACUGACGCUGAGGCACGAAAGCGUGGGGAGCAAACAGG
rnacentral:rRNA from 1 species